AUAUUAAUAUUAUUAAAUAAAAAUAUUAAUAUUAUUAAAUAAAAAAAGAUUGAAAUUAAUAUUAAAUAAAAUUAAUAAAAUUAAUAUUAAAUAUAAAUAAAAAAAUAAAUAAAAAAAGAAAAUUUCAAUUUAAUUGAAAAUUUUCUUUCAUUUUAAAAGUUUCAUUUAAAUUGAAAAGGAAAAGAAAAAAAGAAACUCCUCCCUCUAAAAAUAAAAAAAAAAGCAAAAAAAAAGGGUGGGAAUAUUUU
rnacentral:lncRNA from 1 species